rnacentral:tRNA from 1 species
GGCUUAGCUCAGUUGGUAGAGCGGCUGAUUUGUAAUCAGUAGGUCGGGGGUUCGAAUCCUCCAGCCG